GUCACUUUGCCGGAGUGGUUAACGGGAUCGCCUGCUAUACUCUUCGGGUUUUGCUUAGCGGUUGGUCUUUGACCGCGUGUGUUCGAAUCGCACAGGUGACG
rnacentral:tRNA from 1 species